UCUAAACAUACACAUUUUUGCUUUCUAGAUGGUUAUUCUGGUUUCUCUCAAAUACAUGUGUCAGCCAAAGAUCAAUCAAAGACUACUUUUACAUGCCCUUUUGGUACUUUUGCUUAUAGACGUAUGCCUUUUGGUUUAUGUAAUGCACCUGCUACCUUUCAAAGAUGCAUGAUGGCUAUAUUCUCUGACUUUUGUGAAAAGAUUUGUGAGGUUUUCAUGGACGACUUUUCCGUCUAUGGAUCUUGUUUUGAUGAUUGCUUGAGCAACCUUGAUCGAGUUUUGCAGAGAUGUGAAGAAACUAAUCUUGUCUUGAAUUGGGAAAAGUGCCACUUUAUGGUUAAUGAAGGUAUUGUCUUGGGGCAUAAAGUUUCUGAAAGAGGUAUUGAAGUUGAUAAAGCCAAGGUUGAUGCUAUUGAAAAGAUGCCAUGUCCCAAGGACAUCAAAGGUAUAAGAAGUUUCCUUGGUCAU
rnacentral:rRNA from 1 species